AUUGAACGCUGGCGGCAGGCCUAACACAUGCAAGUCGAACGAGUGGCGGACGGUUAAGUAAUGUCUGGGAAACUGCCCGAUGGAGAGGGAUAACUACUGGAAACGGUAGCUAAGACCACAUACCAUCAGAUGUGCCCCGAUGGGAUUAGCUUGUAGGUGACGUAACGGCUCACCUAGGCUACGAUCCCUAGCUGGUCUGAGAGGAUGACCGGCCAAACUGGAACUGAGACACGGUCCAGAAUCCUACGGGAGGCAGCAGGUGGGAAUUUUGCACAAUGGGCGCAAGCCUGAUGCAGCCAUGCCGGGUGUAUGAAGAAGGCCGUCGGGUUGUAAAGUACUUUCAGCGGGGAGGCGUUACCCGCAGAAGAAGCACCGGCUAACUCCGUGCCAGCAGCCGCGGUAAUUCC
rnacentral:rRNA from 1 species